UUUAGUAGUCCUCACCAUUUUUGUAAAAUAAUGUAUCAAUAAUUAUGAUGGGGAUUUAUUUGCGUGUGGAUAUUGUCUAGACGGCAAUAUCUGUAUUUAAACUCACAGUAUGUAUUGUCGUAUUUCACACGACAUUUGUAUUAUUGAAGUUAUAGUUAUUUUUGUACCAUGUAUUUGGCGACUCAGAAUGGGUUGGGUGGAAUGGACCUAUUUUGGGGGCGUCACAAUAUUAGAAAACUCCUCCCCAUCACAAGAGUGUAUGAACACAGAAUUACUUGAGGAAGAAUAGGUCGGAUUUCCCCCAAAUCUGCAAAAUAAAGAACAAAAUCAAAUACUUGAAGUGCCCAAGAAAAAAAAAACAGAAGAACAAGCAGAAAUUUUAAACGGAUCUUGCUGAAAAAAAGAAAAUGGAGCUCAAAUUAACGUCAAACUACAAAAUUUCUGAAAAUUUAAAAUCAUUUAUUACGAAAAUUACAGUUUAUUAAAUUAGGUAAAAAGAAAUGAGAAAAAAAUAGGAAAAUCUCAGAAAAAAGCUCCCAAAAAAUUACAGUUUAGCUUAUAUGGUUUUCCAAUAAAAAUAACAGAACCAUAUGAGCAUACCUCGUUCACAGAGAAAAAGAAUAGCUUAGGACCACCCAAGCUCAACUCAAAACCCAAUACCCACCAUCCUGACCUUUAUAAGAAGAAUAACAAAACAAGCUACUAGAUAUACAAUUUACAUUUUAUACCAGAACUAAUCUCAUCCAUACCCAGAACAUCAUGUAAAUAUCUCGUGGAAGUUGCCCCUAUUUUGGGGCAAGAGCAAAACAGUCAAAGCUGUAGUAGUCCUGGACCUCUACGUGAUGAUCUUGAAGGGAGUCUGCUCAUGUCUGGUACAGAAGAAGGUCGCAUGGGUUCUUCUGUUCUUUGGGUGGAUUUGAAAUUAGGGAAGAACCCUAGAAAAUUGGGAAUCCUACUACGAUUUGGGGAUAGAUUGAGAAGAAAAAGAAGGGAUGAUGAUGGGAUGAAGCAAUUUGGAUUUCAUGAAUGAUGAAGAAGAGAGGAGACUGAAGUUUGAUCGGAGAGGAGAGGAAUGUUAAAGAGGAAGAAAGACAUUUCAGACAUUUACUUGUCAUUUUUGACUGUUAUAGCCUCUUCUCACGCGUUUUUGGCGUCUGACAUACACGCACAGUUAAGUUGGAUGAAAAAGGUAACGUUUUCACUUCAAC
rnacentral:lncRNA from 1 species